GCUCAGAUAGCUCAGUUGGGAGAGCGCCAGGCUGAAGAUCUGGAGGCCCUCAGCUCAAUCCUGGGUCUGGGCA
rnacentral:tRNA from 1 species